rnacentral:misc_RNA from 1 species
GCAGACUGUUCCAGAAGGUCUGUUUCCGUACGACCGACCGUGACGUCGCGGCUCGCAAUUGGACGGCGCGCCUCCGCGACCGGGCGGGCCCCUCUCCCGUGUAUAUAGAGGCGGGCGCAGCGCCGCGCGCGCGCCAGUGGCGGCAUGGCGUACUACCGACGCAACACGCUGCGCUGCGAGUUCGCGGGCGGCGCCGACCGGCCGACGGAGCGCGACGUGCACCGCUGGGUGCGCACGCAGCUGCGCGUGCCCGACGCCGAGCUGAAGGCGCUGCAGCUGCACACCCAGCACGCCGUCGCCUUCCUCAAGCUGCGCUCGGACGCCGCCUUCCUGCAGCUGGCGGAGCGCCUCUGCGGCGGCGGCGGCGGCGCCGCGCUGCAGCUGCAGUCGGGCAAGCUGACGCCCGUGCGCGUCUCCGUGGCCGACGACGACGGCGGCGUCGAGGUGCGCGUCUUCGACGUGCCGCUCGAGGUGCCGGACGCCGAGUUCCGGCGCGCGCUGGCGCCCUACGGCAAGGUGCGCCACGUGCGGCGCGAGGUGUCGGCGCCCGGCUGCGAGUACCGCGUCGCGACGGGCGUGCGUUCCCUGCGGCUGGUGCCGCGCGACGGCGACGGCGCCGGCUGGGACCCGCCGCUGCAGCUGCCGGCGACGCUGGAGAUCGGCGGGCACCGGGGGGCGCUGCAGCUGAGCCGCGAGGCGUCGUGGUGCGCCACGUCGAGCCGCGAGGACGGCGCCUGCCGCGGCUGCGACGCCGGGUCGCCGGUGCGGCCGCCGCGCCGCUGCCCCAGGGACGUGGCGCUGGUGCGCGCCUUCCUGGCGCACAGCGGCGAGUGGCCGCCGCCCGAUGACGUCACGGGCGCCGCGCCCGCCGAGGACGCCUGCCACCUGGAACAGCGGCGCGCCGCAUAGCCGCACGGCCCACUCUGCCCCGCAGGGUGGGAUACCGAACGAGUCGCCGCGACCGGCGCUCACUUCUGUGCAAUCGUCCACAGCAGCGAAGAGAUGGUCCACACAUCCACAGGGGAAAUGCCAACUGCUUCAUGGUUUGAGGAAGAUACCAAACAACCAGUAACAGAUGUUGUAGGCAGCUCCUCUGGGAUGAAGUGCCAGCAAGGUGCCACAUGGUUUCAUUAA